rnacentral:misc_RNA from 1 species
AUUUGAACAACUGCAGAUAACUUAAAUUCAUCAUUUCAAAUGAUACUAGAAUGGAUACACUAGAAUUAAUCAUACUCUGGAAACAACAAUGGUGAAUAUUUAACUAAAAAUGCAAAGCAUACUUUCACUUCCUUGUUUACGACUCCAUGUUGAAAAUAGUUCUUACCCAUAAUGCCCCGAGCGAAAGUACACAGGUCAGUGCGACAGUAUGAAAGCGCUACCGUAGUGUACACAAUGACGAUUUUCGUUGCCCUUGGUUAAUUAAGGAAGUAAGCGAUCACUUAUCACGUAAAGAUUUUCUGAAAAUUGGAGUGCGACUGACUGAUAACGAGAUACAAUGGCCGUAGAAAACAGGCUGCUGUUCUUCAGCAAGGAGGUUACAAGAUGUAUAAAGGACCCGACAGUUGUUUCUCAUCUUGAGGCAGAUUCUGUAAUCUCAUCAGAUGAGAGUUCUAGACUAAAGAAGAUAUAUCUGGAUGGUGAUCCGUUUAAAGCGAAUGAGGAAAUGAUUGACUGUCUUCUUAAAUCAACAGCAAAGGGAAAAUGGAGAUCAUUCUUAGAUGCCUUAGAAAAAUCAGACUAUCUUCACUUAAAGUCAUUGCUGGAAUCAACAGACAGACCACGUUCAAGUGAUGAACGUGAAAAGGAAAUAAUAAGGGUAUUCAUUCCGUUCUUAGAAAAGACAGUUACAGCAAAAGAAAUUGUGACAGAUCUGUACUCAAGGAAAGUCAUUAACGAAGUGGAUGACGAAUUGAUACGUGCAACAUAUCAAAAUAAAGGAGAUACAUAUGCUACAAUUGUCUUACUUGAACGAAUGCAGUGUAGAUUGGCUCCAGAUGAGUGGUUUUAUGAAUUCUUAAGUGUAUUAGUACAAAGAGGUUUUAAACAUGUCGUAAAAGAACUUGAACCGGACUUUUUGGACUGUCCUGAACGGUUUCGACCGUGUACAGGUUCCGCGGAAGCAAAAGGUACAGAAUGUGAUGUAAUGAACUCAAACACAGAAACGUAUGAUACAAAAGGUGGUGACGAUGUUUGCUGUUCAUCUGGGAAAGUAAUUGAACACAUGGUAACAGAUUAUGGAGAUGCUGAGGAAGAUAUGGACCAGGGAGUUCCGACAGCAUCUGAAAAUGAUAAUGACGCUGAUGAAGAAAGUGCUUUAGAUUUGUCGUUAGACUCGGGUUUGAAAGAUUCCAGUGACAAAAGCUCUUCUCAACUCAAAGGUGCAUCGAACUCAUAUAUUAACGAAAAACGUUGUCUUCACGAAAUUGAAAAGAACACCACAAACGUUAAUAAGGUCGCAAAACUUGGAGAAAGGGCACCACCAGAAGGACACGAUUUUGACGGUGAUAGUUCAUGCGACGGUGGAGCAGAACAAACUAAAACAAAUAUAAAGGGAGAAAGUAAAGUAAGUAUUCCAAGUAACGACAGCACGAAAUUGGCUUCAAAUAAACCUGCUAGUGAAUCAGAAGAAUCGGACGAUGGUUCUGACGGAAACUGGAUGAUGAAACACCACUAGCUGAGAAAUUGUACCCUUUCCAAUUAGAGUUGGCCGAAAAGGCGUUAGCUGGCAAAAAUACUAUUAUAUGCGCUCCAACAGGCAAGUGGCAAAACCUGGGUAGCCUUGCACAUCAUUGACAGACAUUUGCGAUCGUCUUCGAACGGAGAAAAGACAAAGAAAGUUGUUUUUAUGGCGAGAAAUGGAGUACUUGUGAGUCAGCAAAUGGAUAUUCAUAUCUAACAAAUUGCCGUAUGCAAAGGUAAA